UGCAGUGUGGCUCAGUGGUAGAGCGCUUGCCUAGCACAUGUGAGGCCCUGGGUUCGAUCCUCAGCACCACAU
rnacentral:tRNA from 1 species